rnacentral:ncRNA from 1 species
UUCGGUGUCGCCUCCGGGCGAUGAAAAGGGAAUCAGGUGAAAUUCCUGAACAGACCCGCUGCUGUGAUUCCUACACACCCUCCGAGCUAACGCCACUGGCCUCAAGGCCGGGAAGGCAUCGGACGGGAGGAUAAGUCAGAAGACCUGCCAAUCUG